AUCAGACCAACCAAAUUGUUAAUAAUGAAGGAGACAAAAUCCCUUCAAAAUGUCCAGGGAUAAGGGUACGAAGAUUGUGCGAAUAUUGAAAUCUAAUAGACAGGAAGUACUAUUAAUUUUAAGACCAUAAUGGCGAAAUUUCUUUCUCUUCGACUUCAAACACUAAAUCAAGUGAGGAUUUUAAAACUGCUAUGAGCGGAUAGUGCUGAAUUGUACGGAUGUUAUCAAGAGCGACAAGUUUGUGGACGGAACUGAAAAAGAAAAACACAUUUUUUAAUGCAAUUCAGAAAAUCGCCGGAAAUAAAAUUAUUAUUUUCAACUUACUUGGGAUAAAAUGAGGUAAAAAGGUAUCCUAUAAUUCCGCCCAUCGAAUGUCCUAUGCAGGACACCUCUUCCCAUUCGAAAUGCGACAAUACUCUUCUAAUUGCAAUUAAUGCCUCGAUAUGCGCAUCAUACCAAACCUGCGGACAAUACGUGGUCAAUCCAUGACCGGGAAGGUCGAGGGCGAAAAAUGUAGAGGGUGCAUUUGAGUCCGGUGACAUUAAGAGGGGGAUGAGGUUAUCGAACGAUCCUGCAUUAUCGAGCCAUCCGUGCACACAAAUUAUUGGAGGGUGUGGUUUGGUUUGAGUGAGUUUCUGACCGGCAGAUUUCCAUAAUUUUCCUUAAAAUUAAGAAAUUCAACUUUAGUUUUAAUCGAAAAUUAUUUUUUUCCGUCAAAGAACCUCACCUGCAAUUACUCCACCUCCUGGGACAUCAAUUUUGACCUCGGUAAUGGUAUAAUUUUGUGAGGAUGAUGAUGAAUUUCUAACAUUUCCUGAGUUUAGUUUAAACUCUUUUAAAAAAUCUUUGUUUAUUAUAUCCAGUAAAGUUCUACGAUGAGGUGUAAUUAGAGUACGGCUUAUUAACAGACUAGUUAAUCUUAAUACUGUCAUAAUGGCUAUUUUUCAAUAAUGAGUUUUAAAUCGAAAUCAAAUUAACCUAAAUUAUCACACCAGCAGUAAAAAUAUAAUAUUUCUCUGUCGGAUUUUCCUUUUCGCAAAAACAAGCAUGAUGAAAUAUUGCACGUGUUAAAAAGUGAGACAGUUUCAUGAUGAACUUUCAUCCAUAGGUACAUAAUAUUAGGAUUUAUUUACCUCAACAAAUUGCAUUAUGUAGUUAAACAUCGAAUUUUAAUUUAGGCUACAAUAAAAUAUUUAUAGUUAAUUUAAGAAUUAUUCUCAUUAUUCUUGCUUAAAUUAGUAUGUAUUUGGAAUAUUCAUGUAAUGAAAUCAUAAAAACAUGCAAAAGCGACGAUAAAAUAUUUUCAUAUUUUAUCUAUGCAUUUUAUGCAACAAGCCUGGAUUUUAACAAGACCGAAAUCAGAAAAUAUAAGUAUGCAUCACACUUUAAAUUUAAAAAUUAAAUAUUGACGUAUGUACAUUUAAAAUCCUUCCAUUAUAAUUCUGCAUGCACAAAAAUAAUCCUUGCACGAUGAUAAGUCGUUAUCUAUCUAUUUAGUAUGCCAGACAUAUAUACCCCAUCACACCAUGAGGAUGAUUAUGGUACCCCACCCAUCCUAAGAUCAGUUAUGUAUCAUCAAUAACUAUAUGAGAACAAGAUUAAAUAGUUGGGCAUGAUUUCAUUCCUGAAAAAGAUACGAUAAGCUAACCACCGUAAAACAAACCAGGGAAUGCGCCGUUCGAUCAUCGAUGCAAUAAUUAUGUCAUGAUGGGAUGAUAAUGCCUCAACAUUUACCUGUCACGAUUAGUAAUUUGUUCAAGAAUAUUAAUCGUGUCAUUUCAUAUCUGCUCCAAUUUCACGGAGGUUAGAGGUUGACAAAAGUACGCACAUACAUAUGCGUAAAAUCCAGAAAUUCAAUCAAAUAUAGUUUCAUUUUGGGAUAGAGAUCACAAUUAAUAAUUUUUCAGAAUGUGCACCUGUAUGGGGAAAUACCUGUCAAAAAUAUUCUUCUGCUGUGGGAAACACACGGGAAGCUAUGAUUUAGAAAAGUUUGAAAAGUCCGUACAGCUCAAAGGGACAGUUCCAGUCGUGGGGGGAGGCGAUAAGUAGUCCUGAGGAUGUUGGUGAUAAGUAAACAGCAAUGUGAAUGUUUAGGAGUAAAUGUUUUGAGUACUUUAGUUAAGGUGUAAAAUGUUUGAUUUUUAUAAUAUUUCGGCCACAAUUCAAAGGGACGCACAAUAUGCAGAUUUUAUAUUUUAUAAACAGUUUGUCAAUUUAUUUAUAUGAAUUAAGUUUAAUUUGUUGAACAGUUGAACAAUUUGAUUUAAUUAAUAAGACGGAUAACUUAAAUUUUUAAUUAACGCAGUAGCCAAAUUAGAUUCGUGGAUUAAAUUAAAUUUGAAGUCAGUAAUGACAGUAACAAAAUUAAUGAAUAUUGUAAAAUAUUUUUAUAAAUAGCUAACGAUUCAAAUUUGAUAUCAAUUUUGAAAUUCGAUAACUAACGAAAUGAACAGAUUCGAAUAAAAAUUAAUUUGUAAAUAA